rnacentral:lncRNA from 1 species
ACUUAAAACAAACUCAAAGGACUCAAAACAAGCUAAAAACGCUCAAAUCUGCCUAAAAACACAAAUUGGGCAGAUUUGGACUCUAACACACUUUUGGGACACCUAAAAACAAAAAUCAAAACAGAUUUUGACUAAUAAAACAUUUUAAAGUAAAGGGGGUUUUGGUUUUGACGAAUUUGAAAACAAAACAAGUAAAUUAAAGAACUAAUAAAAUCUGCACGAAUUUAAGUAAAUUGAAUGGAUGGAAGGCUAGCUAGGAGGUUCUUCUCCACACAUGACAUACUUGCACAUAAACCAAUUUUCAGUUGUUCUUUUGAUCAAUCAUGAAACUCAACACCCUAGUUUAAUUAAGUCCGCUUAAAUUAACCUUCAAGUUCUCCUUAAGUUAUUGAAUUGGAUGGGAAAACGCAUACAACAAUUCAAGCAUUCUUCAAAAGUUCUUUACAUGAACAUCACAAGAAAGAUACAAUCAAAGAUCAUUAAGCAUUAUGAAAACCAUAAGCAUUGACGAGGCAUUUGUUACUAUGAUGGGCAUGAAACUCCUGCCAAGAAUUUAUUUAACGCGAUCGUUUAUAACCGACCUCCACUACUUGUGAAUAUAAGUUUGUAACUAUUAGGUGAAACUCCCUUAUACUCUAGUAUCAUAUUCAUGCAUGCAAACUAAGUGUGCACUCUUAAUAAACAUACACGAAUAAGUUAUCAAUCAAGCAGUUAAACAAAUUGAAUUCACAACUUAUGAAAUCAUAACUGAAGGUAAUCAAAUCAUAUUGCAAGCAUGAACAUGGUUUCGAAUUCCCCCUAGCUAAGAAGGGUUUAGUUCCUCAUACUUACAAAGCAAAGAUAAACAAAUUUAGACAUUGAAAACAAAAGAAAGAAAACACCUAAAAACGAUCCAACAAUCCAACUUGAAUGGCAAGCACGUCCAAGGGUCCUCCUUCUUCUCGUUGUUGCGGUACAAGGUGUGGUUUGAUGGAUGAGUGGUAAAUUAUGGUGGUGGAUGGAUAUAGGUGAGUUAUGGUGAAGGAUGGAUGGGUGGAUUAUGUUCUCUCUGGUUUUCUUCCCCCUUGUUAUGGUGAAGGGUGGAUGUAUUUAUAGGCUAGGGAGAGGACCACCAUCUAAUUAAGGUGGUAGUAGUGUAUGUUGUGGUAAUGAAUGGAUGUAAUGGGUGUAGUGGGUGAGUGGUAAUGAGUGGAUGUAAUGGGUGUAGUGGGUGAGUGUUUGGUAAUGAGUGGAUGUAAUGGGUGUAGUGGAUGGAUUUUUAGUAAUGAGUGGAUGUAAUGGGUGUAGUGGAUGAGUGUUUGUAGUUGUAGGUCAACACACUUGCACACACACAUGCUGAUUUCUAGCCUUCUAGUCUUCAAAAGCGUCCAUCCUCAUGUCUCCAUGCUUGCACUAUCCAAUCUUGGCCCAAAAAUGCUCCAAAGUGCUCUAAAUAGCACUUUGUUGCCAACUUUGUUAGUUGAACCUACAAACACACGAAAAUAGCUUAAAGUACUAAAAUAACUAGAAUUAAAGUAAGUAAAUGCCAAAAAACAAGCUCACUAAGUUGCAUAAAUAUGCUCUUAUCAAAUUCCCCCACACUUAGCUUUUGCUAGUCCUCGAGCAAAACAAAAGAAACAAAAUGAAACAAAACAAACAAAACACAACCUAGCCUUCCAACAUUUGCCUCAGGGAUUUCCAAUGCACAUGACAUGUUAAAAAUCAUCAUUCCCACAAAUUUUGGUUAUCUUCACACUUGAGCACAAACUUAAUCACAGUCACUACUUACUAGUUCACAAUUAACCAAUUAAAACAAUGUUUUGAAUGUAGUAACAUGGCUUAGAGAAUUUGCUCAAUUCCUUACAAGAUACUCUCUAUUUUCUCACACAUUUUCUGACUACACACCCUACACUAGAGACUGGGACUUACAUAUGUUAUAACAAAGGAAGCAAUUUUCUGGAGUUAUUAAGCAUGUUUAGAUAUGAUCUCAUGAAUGGAACGCUACUACUUAGAUGCGAGAAUCAAUGACACCAUAUGAUCAUACCAAUUCCAAACUCCACAUAUUGAAACACAUAACACUUAAGAUGAAGUUAAGGGUUGUAAUGGGGCUUGGGGGUAAUGGCUAACAAAGAAAGGAUAGGGAUAACAAACAUUCUUCAAGCGAUAGCAAGCAAAGUAAUGAAAUCAACACUUGGAAUUCACUUUAGAAUGUAGAAUCAACUUUUAAAUACAAAGGGAAGAUUCAUGCAACACUUAGGGUCGAAUUCAAUGUUUUUGGACCCUUUCUUCAACAAACAACACUUUAAAGCCCCUUUUCACAUAUUUUCCAACUCUUUUUUUUUUUUUAACUAUUUUCACAACUUUUCUUCUUUUCAUUCUAUUUUCCACGAAUUUUUCUUUCCUACCCAAGCCUUAUUAAGGACUUUGGCACACACACACAAUAAGAAUUACUUCCCCCCACACUUGUUUUCUGCAAUACAUUAAUCAAAAGGAAUUCAUUUUGAGUCAUGCUUUACUAUGCUUCAAGAACAAGGAUAUGGAUGGUCCUAAUCUAGGCUAGGUGAGGGUAGUGUGGGUUAACAAAGAACAUAGGCUACACAAGGCUCAACAGGGUUAAACUUAAACAUAUAAUGAAGUAGGAUACACGGCAAUUUGGCUUUGGUGGUGGUCACUACACAACUUCAUCUUGAAUAUGUGUUAUGCAAAUCAAUAGCAUGCUUUGAAUGACAUGGGCAUGAGUUCUAACAUUUGGAACUAAAUGAUGAAACGCCUUCUAAGUAGUAACCAAGCAAAGAAUAAUGAGAUCAGGCAAUGACUUUAGAAAACAAGAAUGCACAGAUUAUUAACUCUCCAAAAAAACGUUUAGGCUCAAGUCUCACAAGGUUGUAGCGUUAAUUUGAGUUCCUUCCUUCAAGCAUGUUACAAAAACUGAUUUUUCUUUUAUGAUUGCAUGUGAAUUCAUAAAUUAAAACCACAACCAAGCAUACACCAAAGAGUAAAUCAAAUUUUCAUCCAUGUUUAUAACUCUCUUUAACAAUCAUGUAAUUAAAAACCAAAUCUUCAUCAUUGUGUUGGAAGGUAUCCUAAGACAAAUAAACACUAAAAAACAACUCUUUUUGGGUAUUUCAAAACAAUUUUUCAAAUUUUUAUGAGAUUUUCAGAUUUUUAUGUCAAAACACAUUAAAACACUCCAAAACAGCUUAAAAACACUUAAAAACAGCAAGGAACAACACUUAGAAGUAAUGGGUGAUAAACUCCCACGAAUUUCAUGCAAAACAACUUGGUUACCCCCCCACACUUAAAUCAAACAUUGUCCUCAAUGUUUCA